AGCGAACGCUGGCGGCAGGCCUAAAACAUGCAAGUCGAACGCCGUAGCAAUACGGAGUGGCAGACGGGUGAGUAACACGUGGGAACGUACCCUUUGGUUCGGAACAACACAGGGAAACUUGUGCUAAUACCGGAUAAGCCCUUACGGGAAGAUUAUCGCCAAGGAUCGCCCGCGUCUGAUUAGCUAGUUGGUGGGGUAACGGCCCGACCAACGGCUACGAUCAGUAGCUGGUCUGAGAGGAUGAUCAGCCACACUGGGACUGAGACACGGCCCAGACU
rnacentral:rRNA from 1 species